ACGAAGGGUGCAAGCGUUACUCGGAAUUACUGGGCGUAAAGGGUGCGUAGGUGGUUUUUUAAGUCUGCUGUGAAAUCCCCGGGCUCAACCUGGGAAUGGCAGUGGAUACUGGAAAGCUGGGGUGCGGUAGAGGGUGGCGGAAUUCCCGGUGUAGCAGUGAAAUGCGUAGAGAUCGGGAGGGACAUCCGUGGCGAAGGCGGCCACCUGGGCCAACACUGACACUGAGGCACAAAAGCGUGGGGAGCAAACAGGA
rnacentral:rRNA from 1 species